ACCAUUUCUUAAAUUUCAGAUGUCAAACGAAACUGCAAACCUUAAUUCCACAUCAAACGAACUGAUCGACAAUGACGUACUAAACCUAUUCCUCGGUAACAACUCUGUUUAAUGAAUUUAGUUAUUAAGUAUAAUGUAGUAAAUCAUUAAAAACUAAUUUUCACACCUCAUCAAAAAGGUAGAAAUAGAGAUAAUUAUAAAAUUAUAUUCAACAUUGAGUUCUUUGGAUCAGUUAAUCUUGUAAAGAUGCACUUAUAAACUGCAUUAAAAAUGAUAACCUUCGACAAAUAUAUAAAAAAUAUUUACAAAACAUUCUAGCACCGUGAAGAUAAAAACUGACCAUUUAUUGGAAAUCUACGUAUCAAUAGGUAAAGAUGAAUAAAUUGAAUUCCAUAUUUCGUCUGUAUGUCAACUGAUUUUCUACGAACUAAGUAAUAUAAAUAGCCUCUAUUCAUCAUAUUUCACGCUCUUUAGAAGAAAAAUGUUGGAAGCAUGUAAAUUAUAAUAGGAGAGCCGCAGAAAGUAUUUUUGGAUUAACUCGAGCGCGUUUCUGUUCUGAACCUCGUGCGUGGUAUUUUUUUUUUUAAUUUGAAGAAAAUAAUUCCUGAAUAACAAAAGAAAAUAUUUUCUAACAAAUUUCGGUAACUCAACUAAUAAAAAAUGCGUUUAAAUUCUGCAGUUUUUUGACCUGACCGUUAAAAACGUAAAUACAUAGCUUAUUUAUCUUACCAUUUAAUCAAACCUGUCUAAUCUAAAAGGACUCUCGAAUAAAUCCACAUUUUAACAUCAUGGGUUCUCCUACCAAUACUAAUCGUUUUCGUCCCAAACUGUACAUUAUUGUUUUCAGUGUAUCCCAAGGGCAUUCCUUGUCAUUCUCAAAUACUGCCGCCAUAUUUACGAAGCCUUCCGGAAAUUCAAACAAGGUGUAACGAAAUCAUGAUUGGAAUGUGUAAAGUAUGUUCAUUUAACUUCAAGCCUUAUUAGUAUCACGCUUAGGGGACUGGACUCAGAACCAAAAGGUCUAUGGUUUGUUCCGGCCCUUUAUCUAUGUAUGAGUAUGUGCAAUGGUAUAACUCAAGCAGUCUUUUCGCGUGUUUGGAGGAGAAGGGGGUCAUGGCAUUGAUAUUCCCUAGAACUCUUAAAAAAGCGAUUUGCUUUAUCUUUUCUUAUAGAAUAAGAAAAAGCCUGGCUGAGUUUGUUUUAGACUCUUCUCGGACCACGAGAUUUUAGAGAAUUGAAAUAAUUGAAUUGAUUUUUGACGCAUUGGCUAGGGUGUAGAACUCUCUCCCGAAGUUCCUAUUUCCUGAUUCUAUAUCCACCACGUUAAGCCACGACUAAACUUGCCAACAUAAGAGAUCAUGAUCAAGCGCGAUCCUAUUUCAUAUUUAAAAAUGUCUCUCUGAACUUAUUUUAGGUACCUUGUGAAGAUGGCAUAUUUGAGAUUCGGUCCGCUGCAGGAGAAAUCAUAGAGCGAGUUAACAACACAGCCGGGAUUUACUCAUUAUGUCAAAACAAACCACACCAGCCGCCGCCAAUCGCAAGGAAUACUAUGUUUGUUUUACCAGGAUCCAAGGUUCACAUUCCUUGCCCAGGGUUAAUAUGCAAUUUUUUGUAAAGUAUAGUACAAUAAAACGGCAUACAGCGGGCGAUGGAACAAGCUAUGCUCGGAGUAUCUUUGCGUGAUCGAUCAGAAAUGAGAAGAUCCGCAGACGAAGCAAAAUCACCGACAUACCUCAACGACCCGCGAAACUGAAAUGGCCAUGGGCGGGGUUUGAAGAGUCGAUGGACGUUAGGGUCCCAAGGUGCUAAAAUGACGACCCCUAACAAAAAGAGCAGUGACCAGGUGGAUUGACGACAUCAAGCGAGUCGCAGAAAUUCGCUAGCAGCACAACUCUCCGCGAUAUUCCGUCAACAUGGCGGGUCGGCAGCGAACCGUCUUCCCCGCAGGCACUGGACGCGGCCACGAGCGGACGGGUGCACCUCAACGCGAGGGAUCACUUCGUGUUCAGUGCCGUGGAGCACGGUGACACUAAUGUGUACAGUUGCUGGCAAGCAGACAUACUGGUUGGAGUGGUGAAGCUAGAGGUGUCGCAGAGCGCAGAGGACGCCUACAGACGUCGCUUCACAUUGCUGGCUAUCAUCAUACUGUUAUUGUUUCUGCUGAACGUCGCGAGGCGUUUGUCUUACCAUGUCUUACGGCAUGACUGAUAUAUUAUGUUUUUAAUUAUAUUGUUAUGUAGGAAAUAGUAGUCUGAGAUGGAUCUGACGUCGCUCGGUCUCGUGUUGGCUUCUGCCAACGCUAAGUGGCGCGAUUUGUUUCCGUAAAGAGUAGGGAGUUAGAGAGGGGGUUGGCGGGAACGACUUGCGAUAUAAGGCGCUCGUCGCACGGUCGGCAUCAGUAUGUUCGUAGCGUUCGAGCCAUCCAUAUUUCUUGUUGUGUAAUAUUUUAUGGGUUACUUAGGACUUGAGUGGAAAAGGGGAGUGUUAGUUAAUUGUCAAAGACGUCUUUAACCCUACACACAACGUUCACAAGUGCGUGACUCCACUAAAGGUCAUUCUCUGCCAUUCUAAAGUCUUAUUUUGGUCACAAUUUGAUUUUUUAAUUAAGUUGUCCUGACAAAUGUUGUGAAUGUUGUGAAACCUUUGUUCGACAUUGGUUAUUUUAUUUGUGUAAUCCACUUCUGAGUCUGCUAAAAGUUAAUUAAUUUGUCUAUGUAAUAAAUAAAUAAUAAUAUUAUUAUUUAUUAAAUAUAUUAUUUAUUAUAAUAAGGAAAGGUAGGGGUAUGGUUAGGGGUACUGUAAGGGUAGGGUAGAAUAGGAUAGGGUUAGAGAAUGAGUCAAAGCGAAGCUUGACCGCGUCGGCUAGUUGUUUAUAUUAAAUUUGAUAUAAGCCAACUAUCCUUAUCGAAUAAAUCAAGCGUGAUCUCUCACCAAAAUUCUGCGCUCGAAAUUGUAGACGAAUAUAUAUACCUAGGACACACAGUCUAGUUAGGUAGGUCCAAUUUCGAGAAAGAGGUGAAUCGCCGAAUCCAGCUCGGCUGGGUAGCGUUCGGGAAACUCCGCGACAUCUUUUCGUCCGAAAUUCCUCAGUGCUUGAAGACGAAAGUCUUCGAUCAGUGCGUGUUGCCAGUGAUGACAUACAGAUCCGAGACUUGGUCACUGACUAUGGGCCUUAUUAGAAGGCUCAAAGUCACUCAGCGGGCGAUGGAGCGAGCUAUGCUUGGAGUUUCUCUGCGUGAUCGAAUCAGAAAUGAGGAGAUCCGCAGACGAACCAAAGUCACUGACAUAGCUCAGCGAGUAGCGAAGCUCAAGUGGCAAUGGGCGGGCCACAUAGUUCGAAGAGCCGAUGGACGUUGGGGUCCCAAGGUGCUGGAAUGGCGACCCCGCACCGGAAAGCGCAGUGUUGGGCGACCCCCCACUAGGUGGACCGAGGAUGUCAGGCGGGGUUGCAGGGAGCCGCUGGAUGCUGGCGGCUCGAGAUCGUUGUGCUUGGAGGUCCAUGCAAGAGGCCUAUGUCCAGCAGUGGACGUCUAUCGGCUGAUAAGGUAAGGUAAGGUAA